rnacentral:rRNA from 1 species
AUUGAACGCUGGCGGCAUGCCUUACACAUGCAAGUCGAACGGCAGCACGGGAGCAAUCCUGGUGGCGAGUGGCGAACGGGUGAGUAAAGUAUCGGAACGUGCCCAGUCGUGGGGGAUAACGUAGCGAACCUUACGCUAAUACCGCAUACGAUCUAUGGAUGAAAGCGGGGGAUCGCAAGACCUCGCGCGAUUGGAGCGGCCGAUAUCAGAUUAGGUAGUUGGUGGGGUAAAGGCUCACCAAGACGACGAUCUGUAGCUGGUCUGAGAGGACGACCAGCCACACUGGGACUGAGACACGGCCCAGACCCCUACGGGAGGCAGCAGUGGGGAAUUUUGGACAAUGGGCGAAAGCCUGAUCCAGCCAUGCCGCGUGCAGGAUGAAGGCCUUCGGGUUGUAAACUGCUUUUGUACGGAACGAAAAGGUUUGGCCUAAUAAGCUGAGCUCAUGACGGUACCGUAAGAAUAAGCACCGGCUAACUACGUGCCAGCCGCCGCAGUAA